rnacentral:ncRNA from 2 species
UGGGCUGGUCGGAAGACCUUGGUCCACCUGGACGGCGGGGCAAGCCCCC